ACUGGUUCGAACCGGUUUCGAUCUUAUAUUUCAGUGUAUAAACUACAAAAACAUUCGUUUGCAUUAUACAUUCGCCAUUUUAGACUGCGACGGGUCGGUUGUUAUCUGUUAUCUCUUCGAUAAAAGCCCGUUUAACGGCUGUAUUUUUGUGAAUUUUCUGGUCCUUUGUAACCAACAACAUGGGCAAAGCGAAGAGUGAGGCCUCUGAGGCAAGAAGAUCUGCACGACUGGCAUCGCUGAAAACAAAUAAACCACCAGUGGAGGUGAAGAAGAGAACCGUGAAGAAGCCGUCCAAAGCAAAGAAGGAAAAACCAGCUGAGAAUGGGAACACCAAGAAUGAGGAGCCAAAGGCCGACGCCGCUGAAGCCAAAUGAACGGUUGAUGUGCUCACUCUGUCUACUUGGUGAUUGUACAGUUUUAAAUAAGUAUUUUUUACCAAGUUUUAUAUUACAAAUGUCAUUUAUAGGUUUUUGUUUUUGGCUUGCACUUGAUGUAACAAAACUGUUUUCAGUCAUAUCCAUUGUAUAUCCAUUUUAAAAUCCGUCCAUAUCCCGUAGACGUGGCAUUCUUAGUUUGUCUAAUCAAGUUGUUUUUUUAUUUUAAACUGCUGAAUAAUAGACACUUUCCAACAAGUUGGAUUUUGAAUCUAAUUUUAAACAUUAUGAGGCAGCUAAAGCAUAUUAAAAUUUGCAGGAGAAUAGGAGCUUUGGCUUUUAUCUCCUUGUAUUUUGAUGUUGAACUAAUAAAAGAAUUGCUUACCAAAUGUUUUGAAACACUGUAUGUUGACAUGAAAACUAGUCAGUUAAAAUGAGACAGAAAAAUCCUGUCAUUAGGUCAAACUUUUAAUAGACCCCAAAAACAUGUUUGAUGUGAACCUGUCAUCUGAUGAAAAGUUCUGUUAAGUUAUGUUUCUGUUUGGAGAAAAGAAAGCUUUUCUGACUUCAAUGGCUGAUCUAAAUGUUCUUGAAUAAAACUUUUCAAAAUGUU